GGCCCUCGUUUACGAGCGGGACCCGGUGGCUCCGCGCGGUGGUGGCUGGAGGGAUUGUAGUGCUGGGAAGAUGGGGGCGCCCCUGCCCGCGCCUCACGUCUCCUCCACCCCCAGGCGGGUGUCCAGGGUAACGUCUGAAGGUCGCGGCAUAACAACGAUAAAAAGGAUGAACUAUUGAUGCACCCAGCAGCCUGUGCGAGUCUGCAGAGAAUUAUGAACGAAAAAUGCCAAUCCCCAAAUGCUUUGCAGGCAGCAGUAAACAACAGCAACGACCAUAGAACGAACUCUGCCCCCCUGUAAGGGUGCCGGGGUAGCCUUCGAAGCACAUUAACGCGAUUCAAAAGUUAGACAAGUUGACUCUCAAGUUCAUAUGCGGAAAUAAAGAAGCAGAGAAAGCCAGGAAAACCCUGAAAGAGAGGAGCGAUGAGGAGACUGCCCCGCACCAGGUAGCGACUCGCAUCAGGAAAGCUCUGUAGUUGAAAGAGUGACAGAUGUGGCUGGAUAUAACGUUCAGAGCCAGGCAUAUACAGAAACAGGAUAUGGGUCCAGAAACGUGCAGACAGCUCUUUGGUGGCCUGUCAAAUCAUCAGUGAAAAUACAGACUUUGUAACAAAUGGAGUUGGAACAACCGGAAAGCCAUCUGAAAGAGUAAAAAUUGGAUCUACAUUUCCCAAACACCAGGAUCAACUCUAAAUGGA